UGACCAGCUGGCUUCUGAGGGCGGUGAAUCUUGAAGAAUCGCUUUUUGCAGCGGCGGCGCGUGGCGGUGGUGGUAAGGCGGUGAGAUGUACGUGAAGUUUCAUGCCGCCGUAGCAGGAGCCUUUGCUGCUCAUGAAGUAGCGGUCGUGGGUGACGUUGAGUGCCACCACGUCUCUUCCGGCGCCGGUGGUGUAAUUGUGAACAGGGUGCUCGGCGUUGCACGUCUCAUAGUUCGUCUUGUUCACUU
rnacentral:lncRNA from 1 species